UUCGACUUCAGAACUAUUGCUAAUGCCACAAACAACUUUUCUGACGGUAAUAAGCUUGGGCAAGGUGGCUUUGGACCUGUCUACAAGGUAAUCAUAUUGUUCCAACAAUUAAUACUGGUUUCGCUUAUGAUCAAACUUCUGUAAAUUGAUAGAGUUCUCCAUUUGAAUAUGGUUCAACUGUUUAGAAGGUUUGCUGAUAUAUAUGAUCAGGUUUAAAGGUUUAACUCCGUAAGUUAUCCGGAUUUAUCCCAACAUAUUGACAAUAAAAUAUGAAUAAUGCUUACUCUGUAUAAUUCUAAAUUUGUUAGGUCUUUUUCUGUUUCCUUCUAAAAGUUAUCUUCAACAAGUUACAAUUUACAAAUGUAGUAGAAGCACAAGAAAAAUAUUGUAAUAACUAGUAAGUAUCUUUCUUAGAGAUUGUCGUCCUGACAUUAACAAGCUGUAGG
rnacentral:lncRNA from 1 species